AUGGAAAGGUGCAUUAAGAGCUGGGUGACAUGACUUCAGAUGCUAAAGGGGAGAGUGCUUUCAAAGUCCUGCCCAUUCUGGAGGAAGGGUCCACAGAACCACAACCACAGAAUUCUGGAAGCCAUUCAUUGACAUACAAACCUGUGGGGACCAGCAUGGUGGAUUUGUGCCUUGGGGACGAGACAACGACAUCCCAGACCUUCGCCUUUGUUACGGGCUGUGCCACUGAAGCCACUCACUUGC